GCGGGAUAGCUCAGUUGGUUAGAGCGUCGGAUUCAUAACCCGGAGGUCUCGAGUUCAAUUCUCGAU
rnacentral:tRNA from 4 species